AUGGGCCCCCAGCUCCUUGGCUAUGUGGUCCUUUGCCUUCUAGGAGCAGGCCCCCUGGAAGCCCAAGUGACCCAGAACCCAAGAUACCUCAUCACAGUGACUGGAAAGAAGUUAACAGUGACUUGUUCUCAGAAUAUGAACCAUGAGUAUAUGUCCUGGUAUCGACAAGACCCAGGGCUGGGCUUAAGGCAGAUCUACUAUUCAAUGAAUGUUGAGGUGACUGAUAAGGGAGAUGUUCCUGAAGGGUACAAAGUCUCUCGAAAAGAGAAGAGGAAUUUCCCCCUGAUCCUGGAGUCGCCCAGCCCCAACCAGACCUCUCUGUACUUCUGUGCCAGCAGUUUAUC